GACGAACGCUGGCGGCGUGGAUUAGGCAUGCAAGUCGAACGGUAUCAUCCUUUCGGGGGUGAGAGAGUGGCGAACUGGUGAGUAACACGUAGGUUAUCUACCCUCAAGACGGGGACAACCCAGGGAAACUUGGGCUAAUACCGGAUGUGAGCAACUUUUAGUUGUUUGAAAGGUGGCGUAAGCUGUCGCUUGGGGAUGAGCCUGCGUCCUAUUAGUUAGUUGGUGAGGUAACGGCUCACCUAGGCAAUGAUAGGUAGGCGGCCUUAACGGGUGGUCGCCCACACUGGGAUUGAGAUACGGCCCAGACUCCUACGGGAGGCAGCAGUCGAGAAUAGUCUACAAUGGUCGGAAGACUGAUAGUGCGACGCCGCGUGAACGAUGAAUCCCUUCGGGGUGUAAAGUUCUUUUAUAUGUGAGCAGUGCUUCUUAUAUUAACAGUAUGGGGAGAGAGAUAUUAGCAUAUGAAUAAGCAACGACUAACUCCGUGCCAGCAGCCGCGGUAAUCU
rnacentral:rRNA from 1 species